UGGGAUGCAGAAAUGUUGUGUAAUCGAGAGCAAUUAUGCAUGUCGCUGUACUACUAGCUGGAGAGGGUGAGAGAUUUCAUGCUUCUAGAAAGCUAUACCGUAUCCUUGUCCAUGAAGCUUAGAUUGAGAAAUCCUAUUUUUGAUUUGUAAUUAUGGUUUAUAACGUGUUUUCUUUUUCUAUUGAGAAAAUUAAUGGUGUUGAAAAGAUAA